rnacentral:lncRNA from 1 species
GAAGUUUCAAAUAUUUUUAAUUAUAUUUAACGAUAUGAAUCAUCAAUUUAAAAGCUCCAUCAUAAAAAAUAAUUUAUAAGUAUAAAGAUAUUUAUACUCAUAAAAGUAGAGUCCGGCUACUAUACUUUUAUGAGUAUUGGCUUCUUUAUACUCAUAAGUUUUCGGUCCUUAGAUUUAUUCUAUUGAUCAUUUCCACCCAUUAGAUCAUACUAUUCAACCAACUACCCACUUAACCCUAGGGGACCACUAUUAUUCUAAGUGGGACCACCAUCAUCCUAACCACAUAUCCCAUCACUCAACGGUUCAAAAUUUAUAAGUACAAGGAGAUUUAUACUCAUAAGAGUAUAAUAGUCCAAGCCCAUAAAAGCAUAGUAACUCUAGUGUAAUUUUAGAGGCCCACACUAUCAUUUCAAGAUGAUAGAAGUCUUUGAUAUAUUAAGUCAUUUUAGAUGAUUAAAAUUCUAAAUCGAUAAUUGACAUCGUUGAAAUUGAUCUACAUCAUUAGACAUACUUACAAAUUAAAUAUUGUAAUUUUAAAAAAUAAUUAUGAAAUCCAUCCAUUUGUUUUCGAUGAUAAAGCUUCCUAAUUGACGAUCGGUAUCGUUGAAUAUUUUACUACUUGAAGCAUCUAGAAACCGAAUUUUAUUUUUUUUAUUUUUUUCAAUAUUAUUUUAUUUUCCAUCAAAUGGACACAAAAAUGAAUAUCUUUUAAAAAGUCUAAAAAUAAAUAUCAUUUAAAAAAUGAUAAUAGGUAUCUUAUAAUCAAGAUCGAGAGUAUAAAUUUUGUUUUAAAUAAUUUAAAAAAUAUUUUAAUCAAAAUUCAAUUGAUUUGAAUAUUUUCACGCCGUUAAACAAAAAAACAUUUCAUAUUGACCAUUAAAAUUAUAAAUUUUAAAACCCUUUGAGCAUUAAGUCAAUAAUAUUGAAAAGAUUUAUAAUUUUAUUUUUAGAUACUUCAAGUGGUAUAAAUCAUAUUUAACGAUGCCGAUCAUCGAUUUGAAGGCUCCAUCAUCGAAAACAAAUAAGUGGUAAC